rnacentral:rRNA from 1 species
CCUACGGGAGGCUGCAGUGGGGAAUAUUGCACAAUGGGCGCAAGCCUGAUGCAGCCAUGCCGCGUGUGUGAAGAAGGCCUUCGGGUUGUAAAGCACUUUCAGCGGGGAGGAAGGCGUUAAGGUUAAUAACCUUGGCGAUUGACGUUACCCGCAGAAGAAGCAUCGGCUAACUCCGUGCCAGCAGCCGCGGUAAUACGGAGGGUGCAAGCGUUAAUCGGAAUUACUGGGCGUAAAGCGCACGCAGGCGGUCUGUCAAGUCGGAUGUGAAAUCCCCGGGCUCAACCUGGGAACUGCAUUCGAAACUGGCAGGCUAGAGUCUUGUAGAGGGGGGUAGAAUUCCAGGUGUAGCGGUGAAAUGCGUAGAGAUCUGGAGGAAUACCGGUGGCGAAGGCGGCCCCCUGGACAAAGACUGACGCUCAGGUGCGAAAGCGUGGGGAGCAAACAGGAUUAGAUACCCUAGUAGUC